AGUGAACGCUGGCGGUAGGCCUAACACAUGCAAGUCGAAUGGCAGCACAGUAAGAGCUUGCUCUUACGGGUGGCGAGUGGCGGACGGGUGAGGGAUACAUCGGAAUCUACUUUUUCGUGGGGGAUAACGUAGGGAAACUUACGCUAAUACCGCAUACGACCUACGGGUGAAAGCAGGGGAUCUUCGGACCUUGCGCGAUUGAAUGAGCCGAUGUCGGAUUAGCUAGUUGGCGGGGUAAAGGCCCACCAAGGCGACGAUCCGUAGCUGGUCUGAGAGGAUGAUCAGCCACACUGGAACUGAGACACGGUCCAGACUCCUACGGGAGGCAGCAGUGGGGAAUAUUGGACAAUGGGCGCAAGCCUGAUCCAGCCAUACCGCGUGGGUGAAGAAGGCCUUCGGGUUGUAAAGCCCUUUUGUUGGGAAAGAAAAGCAGCAGGUUAAUACCCCGCUGUUCUGACGGUACCCAAAGAAUAAGCACCGGCUAACUUCGUG
rnacentral:rRNA from 1 species